AAACUUGUGAUCUGACAUCUUCAUUUUCCGUCUUCUUCCAGAGACUGAGGGAGAGAAAGAAAGAGGCAGGGAGGAAAAGUUGCAGAGCAUAGAUCUGAACUACUGUGGGCUACUACUCUUUGAUUCUUGAACUAGUGUAAACUAUUAAAUAAAUUAACAUGGACAUGUCCAGACUAAAUCCCAGUUUGAUAGACCACCUCAAAACACUCAAUUUAGGAUAUGAAAUGCUAAAUGAAAAAACUUGGAACGACUAAACAAUCCGACACAAUCAACCAGAAGAAUCGAAAAGCAGUGAAGUCCAUAACUCAAAGCAGCAAUACCUCCGAACACAAACAUGGACAAUAGAGCUGUAGACACACAUAGCUCAAAACAAAGAGAUCCUAGACCUAUGCCAAAGCUGCAAGAGGCAAUCAUCAGCUGGUAAAACCACCAUCCCGAAGAACAGCAGCAAUAACCUUGAUUAUAAUCAUAAAUUCCACUCUAGACUAAUUUUAUUUAUAGUUGAUUAGAAAAUUCAAAUUUACCAAUAAUUAUCUGAACAGUCAUAAUCAAGACAUGACCAGUGACUGGAAAAUCUCAAGUCUUGAACAGCCACAGCAAUAGUGUGUUACCCCUCACCCACACCCAGACCACAUUUG
rnacentral:misc_RNA from 1 species